rnacentral:rRNA from 1 species
AGAUUGAACGCUGGCGGCAUGCCUUACACAUGCAAGUCGAACGGCAGCACGGGAGCAAUCCUGGUGGCGAGUGGCGAACGGGUGAGUAAUAUAUCGGAACGUGCCCAGUCGUGGGGGGAUAACGCAGCGAAAGCUGUGCUAAUACCGCAUACGAUCUAUGGAUGAAAGCGGGGGAUCGCAAGACCUCGCGCGAUUGGAGCGGCCGAUAUCAGAUUAGCUAGUUGGUGGGGUAAAAGCCUACCAAGGCGACGAUCUGUAGCUGGUCUGAGAGGACGACCAGCCACACUGGAACUGAGACACGGUCCAGACUCCUACGGGAGCAGCAGUGGGAAUUUUGGACAAGUGGGCGCAAGCCUGAUCCAGCAAUGCCGCGUGCAGGAGUGAAGGCCGUUACGGGUUGUAAACGUGUCUUUUAGGUACGGAAACGUAACGGUUCUUAC